rnacentral:tRNA from 1 species
GGAGGCGUAGCUCAGUUGGUUAGAGCGCUUGCUUCACAUGCAAGAAGUCAGGAGUUCAAGUCUCUCCGUCUCCACCA